UGUGAGAGUGUGGUGGGUGGGGCUUGGGGGAGCUGUAAGAGAUGAAAUGAGUAUCAGUGGUGAAUCAGUGCGGAAAGAUGAAGCUUCUGCUGAACGGACUUCUUCUCGCCUCUCUCUGUGCACUGUCAUCGUGGAGUGUGUCAUCAUCAUUGAACAUAACAAUGAGCGGUGACGUUUCUGUCACGGAGGGGAAGACAGUGGACAUCACCUGCUGCUGGACAGGAAAGCUCCAAAGAGGGCAAGUAAAGUGGCUGAAAAAUCAAACAGAAAUUAAAAAUGAAACUAUUGACACAUCAAAUCAGCCUCAGGCACCGAUGACAAAGAAGGAAAACAACUGUUCAACUCUGACCUUUGUCAAUAUCAUGAGAGAGGAUUCAGGGCGAUACAUCUGCAAGGUGUCUGUGGACAUACCAGUUUUAGAUGAAGCUGACGGAAAUGGUACAAUCAUCACAGUUCUGUCCAAUGAGAACAAAACUGAUGACAAAAACAAUUCUGGCCUUCACCUGUCACUCUCGAUCGCUGUGCCUGUGGCUGUACUGGUUCCACUGUUCUUCAUCACUCUCGUCUGUUUCUGCUGUCUGCGAAGGAAAGAAGCACAAGCAGCCAGGGUGAUCCACGAGGUUCCCCACACUGACUCUGAGAUGUCAGAGAUGGACAAACACAGCACCAGCUCCUCCAGAGGUUCCUCUCAGUGGUGUCAGGUUGCUGUGUACGAAUCCUUCGAUUACUUCGAGCGCGUGGAGACACAACAAAGUGGAUGAGGAUCUGCUCCAGUAUUGUGUAUAAUAUACAUAGAUGACCUUAUCUGUAUUAUAUGAAUGAUUUUAUAUGAGUGUAAAUAUUUAUUUUCUAUAUAUGUUUCAGUCAUUUUUAUGAUCUAAAUUUUUGUGAAUGUCAGGAAUUCAUUAAAUGAGACCUUUAAGAUUCUAC
rnacentral:lncRNA from 1 species